UACGUAGGAUGCAAGCGUUGUCCGGAAUUAUUGGGCGUAAAGAGCGCGCAGGCGGCCCAUCAAGUCAGAUGUGAAAUAACCAGGCUUAACCUGGUGGGGUCAUUUGAAACUGGCGGGCUAGAGUCCAGCUGAGGAUAGCGGAAUUCCCGGUGUAGUGGUGAAAUGCGUAGAUAUCGGGAGGAACACCAGUGGCGAAGGCGGCUAUCUGGGCUGGAACUGACGCUGAGGCGCGAAGGCUAGGGGAGCAAACAGG
rnacentral:rRNA from 1 species